AGCGCCGCGCAAGUGGGCCGAGGGUCGACUCCUGCGGCGCAGGAGCGUGGGGCGCUCCGGAAGGUGGUCG
rfam:Rhodococcus sp. BCP1 chromosome, whole genome shotgun sequence.